AGAGUUUGAUCAUGGCUCAGAUUGAACGCUGGCGGCAGGCUUAACACAUGCAAGUCGAGCGGAGAGAGGUAGCUUGCUACUGAUCUUAGCGGCGGACGGGUGAGUAAUGCUUAGGAAUCUGCCUAUUAGUGGGGGACAACAUUUCGAAAGGAAUGCUAAUACCGCAUACGUCCUACGGGAGAAAGCAGGGGAUCUUCGGACCUUGCGCUAAUAGAUGAGCCUAAGUCGGAUUAGCUAGUUGGUGGGGUAAAGGCCUACCAAGGCGACGAUCUGUAGCGGGUCUGAGAGGAUGAUCCGCCACACUGGGACUGAGACACGGCCCAGACUCCUACGGGAGGCAGCAGUGGGGAAUAUUGGACAAUGGGCGCAAGCCUGAUCCAGCCAUGCCGCGUGUGUGAAGAAGGCCUUAUGGUUGUAAAGCACUUUAAGCGAGGAGGAGGCUACUUUAGAUAAUACCUAGAGAUAGUGGACGUUACUCGCAGAAUAAGCACCGGCUAACUCUGUGCCAGCAGCCGCGGUAAUACAGAGGGUGCAAGCGUUAAUCGGAUUUACUGGGCGUAAAGCGCGCGUAGGCGGCUAAUUAAGUCAAAUGUGAAAUCCCCGAGCUUAACUUGGGAAUUGCAUUCGAUACUGGUUAGCUAGAGUGUGGGAGAGGAUGGUAGAAUUCCAGGUGUAGCGGUGAAAUGCGUAGAGAUCCGGAGGAAUACCGAUGGCGAAGGCAGCCAUCUGGCCUAACACUGACGCUGAGGUGCGAAAGCAUGGGGAGCAAACAGGAUUAGAUACCCUGGUAGU
rnacentral:rRNA from 1 species